UACAGAGGGGGCAAGCGUUGUUCGGAAUUACUGGGCGUAAAGGGCGCGUAGGCGGCCGCCUAAGUCAGACGUGAAAUCCCUCAGCUUAACUGGGGAACUGCGUGUGAUACUGGAUGGCUUGGAUUUGGGAGAGGGAUGCGGAAUUCCAGGUGUAGCGGUGAAAUGCGUAGAUAUCUGGAGGAACACCGGUGGCGAAGGCGGCAUCCUGGACCAAUAUUGACGCUGAGGAGCGAAAGCCAGGGGAGCAAACGGGG
rnacentral:rRNA from 1 species